rnacentral:rRNA from 1 species
UUUAUGGAGAGUUUGAUCCUGGCUCAGGACGAACGCUGGCGGCGUGCCUAAUACAUGCAAGUCGAGCGAACAGAGAAGGAGCUUGCUCCUUUGACGUUAGCGGCGGACGGGUGAGUAACACGUGGGCAACCUACCCUAUAGUUUGGGAUAACUCCGGGAAACCGGGGCUAAUACCGAAUAAUUUAUCGUCCCUCAUGGGACAAUACU